AGAAAGAUCUGCCAGCUGGACUAAGUGUGGCCUCACUCAGCGGCAGAGGACACAGGGAGGGAGAAGAGGAAGUACUGGGUACGGCUUGCUCCCAGAGUGGAACUUGAAAACAGACAUGCCAAGCUUCAGCUGAAACUCAGGCCUCAUGCAGUUUUCUCUGCUUGGAAUGUUCUCUGCCCAACCUUCUCCUGCCCAGCUUCUUGUCCUACAGGUCUCAGGUCAAAUGCCUUCCUCUCAGCGAAGACUUCCCUGGCCACUGGCCACCUUGUCAACAUAAACGUCAUCUGGUUAUUCUCUCUCCAGCCUGUGGACUAUUUUUUCUAAAGAACUUUUCAGGAUCUCAUCCAUAUCUUGGUUUACUUGUUUGUAACCUGUCUCUGUCCUCCAGAAUGUAAGCUCCAUGAGAGCAGCACCUUCUCCUUGACGUUAUUCCUGCCUCAAUCCUUAGCAUCUAGCCCGUUGUUUAAUACAUAUUUGUUGAAUGAAGACCCAUUAAAGUGAAUUAUAGACUUAAAAA